rnacentral:rRNA from 1 species
AACUGCGAAUGGCUCAUUAAAUCAGUUAUCGUUUAUUUGAUAGUACCUUACUACAUGGAUACCUGUGGUAAUUCUAGAGCUAAUACAUGCUGAAAACCCCGACUUCGGAAGGGGUGUAUUUAUUAGAUAAAAAACCAACGCCCUUCGGGGCUCCUUGGUGAUUCAUAAUAACUUAACGAAUCGCAUGGCCUUGCGCCGGCGAUGGUUCAUUCAAAUUUCUGCCCUAUCAACUUUCGAUGGUAGGAUAGUGGCCUACCAUGGUGGCAACGGGUAACGGGGAAUUAGGGUUCGAUUCCGGAGAGGGAGCCUGAGAAACGGCUACCACAUCCAAGGAAGGCAGCAGGCGCGCAAAUUACCCAAUCCCGAUACGGGGAGGUAGUGACAAUAAAUACUGAUACGGGGCUCUUUUGGGUCUCGUAAUUGGAAUGAGUACAAUCUAAAUCCCUUAACGAGGAACAAUUGGAGGGCAAGUCUGGUGCCAGCAGCCGCGGUAAUUCCAGCUCCAAUAGCGUAUAUUAAAGUUGUUGCAGUUAAAAAGCUCGUAGUUGAACCUUGGGUCUGGCUGGCCGGUCCGCCUCACCGCGAGUACUGGUCCGGCUGGACCUUUCCUUCUGGGGAACCCCAUGGCCUUCACUGGCUGUGGGGGGAACCAGGACUUUUACUGUGAAAAAAUUAGAGUGUUCAAAGCAGGCCUUUGCUCGAAUACAUUAGCAUGGAAUAAUAGAAUAGGACGUGCGGUUCUAUUUUGUUGGUUUCUAGGACCGCCGUAAUGAUUAAUAGGGAUAGUCGGGGGCGUCAGUAUUCAGCUGUCAGAGGUGAAAUUCUUGGAUUUGCUGAAGACUAACUACUGCGAAAGCAUUCGCCAAGGAUGUUUUCAUUAAUCAGGGAACGAAAGUUAGGGGAUCGAAGACGAUCAGAUACCGUCGUAGUCUUAACCAUAAACUAUGCCGACUAGGGAUCGGACGGGCUUCUUUUAUGACCCGUUCGGCACCUUACGAGAAAUCAAAGUUU